ACUCAAAUGAAUAGACGGGGGCCCGCACAAGCGGUGGAGCAUGUGGUUUAAUUCGACGCAACGCGAAGAACCUUACCAGCCUUUGACAUGGACAUUAGGGAGAUCAGAGAUGAUUUCUUUCAUUUAGUUGGGUGUCACACAGGUGCUGCAUGGCUGUCGUCAGCUCGUGUCGUGAGAUGUUGGGUUAAGUCCCGCAACGAGCGCAACCCUCACCUUUAGUUGCCAGCAUUAAGUUGGGCACUCUAAAGGAACUGCCUAUGAUAAGUAGGAGGAAGGUGGGGAUGACGUCAAGUCCUCAUGGCCCUUACGGGCUGGGCUACACACGUGCUACAAUGGUUACUACAGCGGGAAGCAAGCUAGAGAUAGUGAGCAAAUCCUAAAAAAGUAAUCUCAGUUCGGAUUGAGCUCUGCAACUCGAGCUCAUGAAGUUGGAAUCGCUAGUAAUCGUGGAUCAGCAUGCCACGGUGAAUACGUUCCCGGGCCUUGCACACACCGCCCGU
rnacentral:rRNA from 1 species